GCUGGGUGUGGUGGCGCGCACCUGUAGUCCCAGCUACUCAGGAGGCUGAGGCAGGAGAAUCGCUUGAACCCGGGAGGCAGAGGUUGCGGUGAGCCAAGACAGCACCAUCGCACUCCAGCCUGGGUGACAGAGCAAGACCCUGUCUUAA
ensembl:misc_RNA Metazoa_SRP Metazoan signal recognition particle RNA